rnacentral:rRNA from 1 species
UCUUCGCUACGUCAGAUCCCACUGCACCCAUCACCUGAAUUCAGCAAGUCACACCCGCAUGUGUGCUCCGCCUGUCGUUUAGGCAAACACACACGUCUACCAUUUCAGUCAUCUUCUAGUUUCAGUUUGUUUCCCUUUCAAACUUUGCACCUUGAUGUAUGGACGUCGCCAGUUGUAAGCAUUUCCGGAUAUCAGUUUUACUUAGUUGUGCUCGAUGACUAUACACACUAUGCAUGGACUUUUCCUCUGAAACACAAAUCUGAAAUUUUCUCCAUCCUGACAGAGUUCUUCGCGUACGUUCAAACCCAGUUUCAGCUCCCCAUCCUUGCGCUCCAAACAGACAAUGGGCGCGAGUUCGAUAACCACACCGUCCGUGCUCUACUUGCUCGUCACGGCACCCACUUCCGCCUCUCGUGCCCCUACACUAGCCAGCAAAAUGGCAAGGCUGAGCGUACCCUCCGAACUCUCAACGACGGCGUCCGCGCACUCCUCUUUCACGCUUCCAUGCCGCCGCGCUUCUGGGCCGAAGCU